rnacentral:snoRNA from 1 species
UCCGCCACUAUACCUGUCUGUCAGUGACUGAGUAUAAUCCAGUGGAGGCACAGACUGACCCAGCUUUAGGAAACAGGGCUGCCCAAACUAAUGGACUGCUCUGUGCCGUAAAGUCUGGAACACAU